CAUUCAUCAAGAGUAGCCGAGGGACUGGCCCGAUGACGCUACGGCAACCAUCCUUAGUGAAACGGUGCCAAAUCCAACGGAACAUUCCGGCAGAUGAAAG
rfam:Phascolarctobacterium sp. CAG:266 genomic scaffold, scf297